UCCGUGGUCAUUUAUUAGAGGCUUAUUUAAAAAUGUCUUAGUUCACAAUGCUGGUCAUAAAAUUGGCUUUUAAAUGACACUAUGAUAACAAGUCAUCCACAAACAGAUAUGACAUCUUAUAACGCCAUAAUAGCCCAGCGACCGAGGACUUGACAAUAGAUUCGGAGGGCUCUUUGGUGUUCUACGCAAUACGGAGUUGCUGUCCCGAAUGUUCUGGGUCCUCCCUGACGGAGAUGAGACGCGCUGUGUGGUGAAGGGCUCUGUUUCGGUAGUUGCAGACCUUCUGUGAGUCAGAAAAAAUGGAUGUGAUGACCUCCAGAAAUGCCUUCAGGUCUUAUAGUCUUAGGAAAACAAAAAUAUUGCACACAGCCAAAUCUAUGGCCCCAAAUCAGCAUUACUUGAGAAGAUAACCUCAGAAUUGAAAUUCAGAACUGGCACCCCAUGACCCCUACUUCUUACUAUUUAUGUUCUUCUGCUCCCUUUUUUUCUCAUGAGGUCUUUAUUGCAAAGAACAGAGAAAAGCUUCUGUCCACCCUCUAGUAGGGAACAGAAGUCUAAUCCAGGAGAAGCUGAACCCGGUAAAC
rnacentral:lncRNA from 1 species